AACGCUGGCGGCGUGCCUAAUCCAUGCAAGUCGAGCGAACGGACGAGAAGCUUGCUUCUCUGAUGUUAGCGGCGGACGGGUGAGUAACACGUGGAUAACCUACCUAUAAGACUGGGAUAACUUCGGGAAACCGGAGCUAAUACCGGAUGAUAUUUUGAACCGCAUGGUUCAAAAGUGAAAGACGGUCUUGCUGUCACUUAUAGAUGGAUCCGCGCUGCAUUAGCUAGUUGGUAAGGUAACGGCUUACCAAGGCAACGAUGCAUAGCCGACCUGAGAGGGUGAUCGGCCACACUGGAACUGAGACACGGUCCAGACUCCUACGGGAGGCAGCAGUAGGGAAUCUUCCGCAAUGGGCGAAAGCCUGACGGAGCAACGCCGCGUGAGUGAUGAAGGUCCUCGGAUCGUAAAACUCUGUUAUUAGGGAAGAACAUAUGUGUAAGUAACUGUGCACAUCUUGACGGUACCUAAUCAGAAAGCCACGGCUAACUACGUG
rnacentral:rRNA from 1 species